rnacentral:SRP_RNA from 1 species
GCCAGGCGUGGUGGCACAAGCCUGGAGUCCCAGCUACUCGGGAGGCUGAGGUGGGAGGAUCGCUUGAGUCCAGGAGUUCCGGGCUGCAGUGCGCUAUGCACUAAGUUCGGCGUCAAUAUGGUGACCUCGUGGGAGUGCGGGUUCACCAGGUUGCCUAAGGAGGGGUGAACAAGCCCAGGUCAGAAAUGGAGCAGGCCACAUUUCCCUUGGUUGCCUAAACAUUUUUUAAGGACAGCUUGCUCAACAUGGGACACAAUCAAGGUCUGGCCGAUGUAGUGGGAACCUAACUG